rnacentral:lncRNA from 1 species
UACAUAGUAACAAUAUUUUUCUGUGGUGUUUUGAGUAUACAUAUAGGUGUGUAACUAUAUUUUGCACGCUUUUUAACAGGCUGUAAGCUGUCGGCUUGCACAAAUAGCUGGAGAGGCACAAAAUGUAAGCCCCACUGUGAAUAUUUAAGCAUAACAAUUUUAUAAGCACAUUUACAUUUAGACAAUCACAUUCUGUAUUUUUGGUUUCAUUUCAGGUUGUGGCUUUGUCAACAGACACCUUCAUUUUAUGGCACAGAGACUGGAUAGCCUCCAAAAAAAUUGAAGAAUCACAUGUAAAAGUGCUUGAGGUAUUAAACUACAUACCUUGACAUUGGGGUUAUUUCCAAGUAUGUGUUUCUCUACAAAGUUUAUAAUUAAUAUAUAUAUUUGUUUCAUUUUAGAAUUCCCAGAAAAUCCUUUGUCCACGGAUUGUUGAAAAUGGAGAUUUACCAGAGAGGGGUGCCACUUCAUCAUUUGGGUUAGUGGUUUAAUUUGGAGAAAAAAUAUUCAAAUAAUGCCAUAUAUUUGUAAACUUGCUAUUUCAAUGCCUUCUCAAUCAAAACAUAUGUAUGAAAGUGCUUGUGAUUUAAUAGGAUGCUUGCAGAAACAAGUCAUCAAGUCAAAGUGAUUGCUUUAGGUGACAAUGGAUGGAAUUUAAACAUGUAUUAAUUUACAUUUGUUUUGUAAAUGAUAUAACACUAGUCUAUGUAAUAUCUUGAAAAUGCAGCGAUACUUAUAAAAAAAAAUUUUAACAACGCCUAAUUUGUACUCAUUUUAUAUGUUUAAUAGGUUUUUGAUGUGCCAGCAAAGGAGAUCAGAAUUUAUGACAACACACAACAAUACGUCACAAUUAGAAAUUCUGACAUGGACAUCCUCAAGUAUGACCCUCUCUCAUUUUGUUUGCUGUCAAAUACACAAAUUAUAUUGUUUACUCACUAUACUGAGUUUUAUUGCAGGGAAGCUUUUAAGCAGUAUGAGUCCCUAGAGGGCUGGACUGUAUCUAAUCCACACCAAUGGACCAAAAAUGAUGGCUACAACUGUGGAGUUUUUGUUUGCACGAUGGCAGAGAUGGAAGCAAAACAUCUCAAAAUGUGUCCUGAAGUGCUGCACACUGGACAACUU